rnacentral:rRNA from 1 species
GUAAUAGUUAUGUUCUUGAAACUUAAAAAAUUUGGCGGUAUUUUAGUCUAUUCAGAGGAACUUGUCCUAUAAUUGAUAAUCCCCGUUGGACCUUACUUAAGUUUGUUGUCAGUUUAUAUACCGUCGUUAUCAGAAUAUUUUAAAAGAAUAAUAAUUUUCUUUAAUUUAAAAAUAAAUUUUAUUUCAGAUCAAGGUGUAGCUUAUGUUUAAGUAGAGAUGAGUUACAAUAAAAGUAUUUAAAUGGAAAUUAUUAUGAAAAAGUAUUUGAAGGUGGAUUUGGAAGUAAAAUUAUACAGAU